CCUGAAUGCGAGCAGAAAUGAGCUGGGUGUGGAUGACGACACACUGCAGCAAUGGGCUGAAGGUGAGUCUCAAUAUAAUGCACUCGUGUAUAACAACAGGACCCACCAUGGCCUCAUUAAAGAACUUAGAGUUAAGAUCUUUCUGACAGUGUCAACAAACAAUGAAAAAUAAGCUUGUAAAAGCAGAAUUGAUGGCAGAGUUGUUGCGUUUGAUCAAAUUGGAUUGGACCUGGGUUGAAGUGAUGUCGUACUAGUUGGUUUUAUAAAGCUGAACACCAACAUACUUGUUAUCUCAUGAUAAUGCAGCACAUGAAGGCUCCAGAUGUCUUAUAAUGAAUAUCAUCAAGUCAGUGAUUACAGAGUCCACUGUAGUUUGGUGACUGUUACUCAUCCUGUGUUCUGAUUAAUAUUCCUCUCACUUAGAAACGGAUCAAACUGAUGGCAGCCUUGGAGCGUUGCAGGCACGAGUAGAGGAGCUUGUCGUCAUCAUCAGAGUGCGAACACAAAGUCUUUACAGACAAAAUGGUGUCACAGUUUCUUUGAAACGGACCGUUUGAUGCUCAGUUUGUACAGCUUGUACAGCUACUUUGUAAACAGAAUAAAAUCAGAUCCAGAUAGCAACAAGAGGCGACACAGAAUUCACAAGGUCAUCUUAGAUGAGAAGAAACGCUUGGCGGCUGCUGUUGACGACUACAACAAGGAAACAAGCAACAAAGCAAAUCGUAUCCAGUGAUGCCCUCAUGCAGAGCGACGUUUGGCCCUGGCAGAGCACAAGUGAACCUGCUGCUGACCUCCGGACAAAGAGAAAGGUCUUUGAGAAGGUGAUGGCUGUGAGGCGCCUGAGAGAGGAGGAGAUGAUCCUUUGCAGGGAGAUGCAGCAUCACUGGACAGUGUUGCAAAUGCGAUCUGUGGUGUUGGGGACAAUCUCCU